AUACGUAGGGUGCAAGCGUUAAUCGGAAUUACUGGGCGUAAAGCGUGCGCAGGCGGUUUUGUAAGACAGUGGUGAAAUCCCCGGGCUCAACCUGGGAACUGCCAUUGUGACUGCAAGGCUGGAGUGCGGCAGAGGGGGAUGGAAUUCCGCGUGUAGCAGUGAAAUGCGUAGAUAUGCGGAGGAACACCGAUGGCGAAGGCAAUCCCCUGGGCCGGCCCUGACGCUCAUGCACGAAAGCGUGGGGAGCAAACAGGAUUAGAUACCCUGGUAGUCCACGCCCUAAACGAUGUCAACUGGUUGUUGGGGAUUUAUUUUCUCGGUAACGAAGCUAACGCGUGAAGGUGACCGCCUGGGCAGUACGGCCGCAAGGUUAAAACUCAAAUGAAUUGACGGGG
rnacentral:rRNA from 1 species